GACGAACCGUGCGAACGUUGUUCGGAAUCACUGGGCUUAAAGGGCGCGUAGGCGGACGACCAAGUCGGGGGUGAAAUCUUUCGGCUCAACCGGAAAAUAGCCUUCGAUACUGGCCGUCUGGAGGGAGGUAGGGGCGUGUGGAACUUCCGGUGGGGCGGUGAAAUGCGUUGAUAUCGGAAGGAACUCCGGUGGCGAAAGCGACACGCUGGAUCUCAUCUGACGCUGAGGCGCGAAAGCCAGGGGAGCGAACGGG
rnacentral:rRNA from 1 species